rnacentral:rRNA from 1 species
UACGUAGGGUGCGAGCGUUAAUCGGAAUUACUGGGCGUAAAGCGUGCGCAGGCGGUUUUGUAAGUCAGAUGUGAAAUCCCCGGGCUUAACCUGGGACUGCGUUUGAAACUACAAGGCUAGAGUGUGGCAGAGGGGGGUGGAAUUCCACGUGUAGCAGUGAAAUGCGUAGAGAUGUGGAGGAACACCGAUGGCGAAGGCAGCCCCCUGGGGUUAACACUGACGCUCAGGCACGAAAGCGUGGGGAGCAAACAGG